GAACGAACGCUGGCGGCGCGCCUAAUACAUGCAAGUCGAGCGAGAAGGUGUAGCAAUACACUUGUAAAGCGGCGAACGGGUGAGGAAUGCAUGGGUAACCUACCCUCGAGUGGGGAAUAACUAGCCGAAAGGUUAGCUAAUACCGCAUACGUUUCCGGAACUUCGGUUUCGGAAAGAAAGCAAUACCGUGGGUAUUGCGCUCCUGGAUGGGCUCAUGUCCUAUCAGCUUGUUGGUGAGGUAACGGCUCACCAAGGCUUCGACGGGUAGCUGGUCUGAGAGGACGAUCAGCCACACUGGCACUGCGACACGGGCCAGACUCCUACGGGAGGCAGCAGUAAGGAAUAUUGCGCAAUGGACGAAAGUCUGACGCAGCGACGCCGCGUGGGGAUGAAGGUCUUCGGAUUGUAAACCCCUUUCGGGAGGGAAGAUGGAGUGGGUAACCACUUGGACGGUACCUCCAGAAGCAGCCACGGCUAACUUCGUG
rnacentral:rRNA from 1 species